GCGGGUUUAUUUCAAUUACCAGAAUACUUUUCUUCCUGAAAGGAGAUGGAGGUGCGACCCCUCUGACCCGCUCCA
rnacentral:tRNA from 1 species